AUUGCUUCUAGGUCUUUUAGCUAAGAUCAAGUGCAGUAUCUGUUCUUAUCAGUUUAAUAUCUGAUAUGUUCUCGAUUUGGGAACUUCAGAUUAAAUGAAUUUUUGGACCUGGGAUUUAAUUUGCAAGCCACUUUGGCCUUGUGGUUAACGUGUCAGCCUCUUAUCUGGAACUCUCC
rnacentral:snRNA from 1 species